rnacentral:lncRNA from 1 species
CCCGAGCCUUCAGACUUAGAAACCAAGGGUCACCAAUCCCAAGGUUUUUUGUCGGUGGCUCGAGCGAUUCCCCAAACACCGCUACGCACACAUCGUGUCACGGCUACGUGUUUGAGUGAAUCUAUCAAAAUCUCAAUCUUCGACCAAAAGCUAAAGGCUAUCAACCAAUAGCUUUAAGCGGAAGAUUGAGUGACCCAUUGGAACAUGCUACACACACAUCGUGUCGUGAUCACAUGCCCAAGUGAGUCACCUAAUCCUAAUAGGGUGGAGUGGCGUGACAAGCCACUAAAGAAAAAUAAAAGGGAUAAAAGAAGUAAAGCGUAUGCUCGUAUGCUAGUGCUCGUUUGGAGGGGAAGGGUCAAGAACCAGCGCG